rnacentral:rRNA from 1 species
UACGUAGGGUGCAAGCGUUAAUCGGAAUUACUGGGCGUAAAGCGUGCGCAGGCGGUUGUGCAAGACAGAUGUGAAAUCCCCGGGCUUAACCUGGGAAUUGCAUUUGUGACUGCAAGGCUGGAGUACGGUAGAGGGGGAUGGAAUUCCGCGUGUAGCAGUAAAAUGCGUAGAUAUGCGGAGGAACACCGAUGGCGAAGGCAAUCCCCUGGACCUGUACUGACGCUCAUGCACGAAAGCGUGGGGAGCAAACAGG